rnacentral:rRNA from 1 species
UACGUAGGGUGCAAGCGUUGUCCGGAAUUAUUGGGCGUAAAGAGCUUGUAGGCGGCUUGUCGCGUCUGCUGUGAAAUUUCGGGGCUCAACCCCGAACUUGCAGUGGGUACGGGCAGACUAGAGUGUGGUAGGGGAGACUGGAAUUCCUGGUGUAGCGGUGAAAUGCGCAGAUAUCAGGAGGAACACCGAUGGCGAAGGCAGGUCUCUGGGCCAUAACUGACGCUGAGAAGCGAAAGCGUGGGGAGCGAACAGG